CACUCUUGCGACUUGUUUUUUGUUCUCCACAAUUUUAAAGGGUAAUCCAGACGUGGACCCCUUGCUCACAGUGCCUAGAGAGAUAUCAGCUAUGCCUCACUGAUGAUGCCUAACAAGGUUGAAACGAUCGUCCGGGGUUGCUGUAUCUCUCGUGCAGAGGGAAUUUGCUGGCAUUUCGGAUCUGGACUGCCCGUAUGGGUGGG